GGGGGUAAUUUGGGGGUCCCGGGGGUCACGUGGCCCCCCCAGCCCCUCCCCCCCCCUCCCGGUACCUGCGGCGGCGGCGGCAGCGGGAGGAGACACGUGGGGCGGAGUGUGCUGCGCAUGCGCGGCGCCCCGCGCUGCUAUUGGCUGGUGCGCGGCGGACUUCCGGCGCUGCUGAGAUGACGCAAAGGGAGCGCCGCGCCCGCCGCGCUUGGCGCCCCCCAGCGGAGCGGAGGAGCGAAAACACCGAGAGGCCAACGGGGGGGGCGUGGAGACCCCCGAAAAUCCCCGAAAUCACCCCAAAAAUAACCUGAAAAACCCCGCAAUCACCCGGAACCUCCCGUAAUCAGCCCAAAAACACCCGAAAAACCCCGAAAUCCGCCCACAAACAGAAAAAACCAAAAAUCAGCCCUAAAACACCCGAAAAACCCCAAAAUCACUCUAACAGUCCCCAACCACUCCAAAAACUCCCAAAGCACCCAAAACCACCCCAAAAUUACCCUAAAACCUCCCAAGUCACCACAAAAUCACCCUAAAUCACCCCAAAAACACCCAAAACCACCCAGAAGCCACCCAAAAUCACAAAAUUACCCUAAAACCCGCCAAAUCACCCCAAAACCACCCCAAGUCACCCUCAAAAAAACUCAAAACCACUAAAAACCCCUGAAACCACCCAAAAUCACCACCAAACCAAAAACUCCCAAAACCACCCCAAAAUGACCCAAAAUCACCGUAAUUUACCCCAAAAUCCCCAUUAAUGACACGCACAGAGGGGGCAGGGCCCGGCGUUUAUUGGGGGUCGGGAAAGGGGCCGGGGAGACCCCCGGGAGUGGGGAGGGGUCCCUGCACAUUUUAGGGUGAAUCUCCCCCAAUUUUGGGGUAAAUCCUCCCCAGUUUAGGAGUGAAUCCCCCCAGAUAUUUUGGGGUCAAUCCCCCCAUUUUUGGGGUGAUUCCCCUCCAUUUUUGGGGUGAAUCUCCCCCGUUAUUUUGGGGAGGGAUCUCUGCAGAUAUUGGGGUGAAUCCCCCCAGAUUUUGGGGUGAAUUUCCCUGUUAUUUUGGGGUGAAUCCCCCCAGAUUUUGGGGGAAAUCACCCCAGAUUUUGGGGCGGGGUUUCUGCAGAUAUUUUGGGGCGAAUCCCCCCGAUUUCGGGUCACUGUUUCUGCUGCAGCGCCUCCUUGCGCGCCGCGUCCUGCAGCAGCUGCGUGUCCACCUCGUCCGCGGGCAGCUGCACGUAGCGAACCACGGAGCCGCGGAUGAAGCAGUUCU
rnacentral:lncRNA from 1 species